CAAAAUCAAUAUGUAGGAUAAAAGACACGAUCCAUUUAUUGGACCAAAAGUGAAAUUCCAUUUUUUUGCUGACUGGUGUUGACGCAAACUGCUGCUCCUAGCUGAACUUGGUUAGCAUUCGUACAUCUGUGUUUGUUUGCAUCGAAAAACAUAUCAUGUUAGAUGUAUUAACGCUAACCAAAUCAAGCUAGGAAAACUAAUAUUAUGAUGUUGCUUGACCAUCUUCAACUUCAGUAAGGUACAGUCAUGUUUUUUUAUGUGGCAGUCGUGACAAGCUAUCAAACUUUAAGUUUUUCAGGACAUUAUGCUACUGAUAUCGAUAUGAUUGAAUGGGUGGACAAUAGAACUCACAUCUACAGAUGAUGAGCUUCCAACUGAUGCUCAUAGUUCAUGGUUUCAAUCGAGAAUAGAUUGGAGUUGAUAUUCAUGGUUUGUGUUGAAAUAUAAGAAUUGGGUUUUGAUGAGUUGGUGAACUGAAGCAAGGAUUGGUUUCUGGGUUUUGUUGAUUUAGAUGAAUGCCUAGGAUUUUCAGUUCAAGCUUUUUGGUGGAGAUGCUAUUGGGUGAAUAAUUACAACUGCAGUUGAUGUCUUGAUUCUGGUGGAUUAUAACAUAUAGGUGUCAUUGAGUGGUGGGUUCUGCUUGCUUAUGUUAAAUUCAGGAAUGGUGAUUUGAAAUAGGCAGUUGUGGUUCUGCUGAGGAUUGUUGGUCCUGAGCUGCAGCUUUGCUCUUCAUUGAAAAAAAUAAUAUGUACGCAAUGAAUUUUAUCUCAGCUUAGAACCACGGAUAUGAGAACUUAUCGACCGCAAUCAGAUCUUAGGGGAGCUGCAAUCCAUGUGAAUUUUUAAAAGACGAACUCUGCUACAGUAGUUGUGAUGGGAAUAUCUUUAACGGGACUAACGUGGGAGUGAUAGAAAAACAUCAUCAGUAUGAUUCUAUAUGACACGAGAAGCUUGACAAAUGUGCAAGUUACAAAGAGGCCUAACUGGAAGGAGUGUCAGAAUUCAUAACUGACAAUCGUGGGCUUGAGGUCUAUGUUUAUGGAUUGAAUUGUGGGACUUUUUCGUUUGUUUCAAUUGAGCCUGUGACAUUGAAAAGCAUUUUGAGCCCUAUGGUAAGGUAUCGCAUGUUAUAAUUCUUAGGUAAGUUGGUUCUAUAUAUCUCGCUACUGGAUAAUUGAUUUGUUCAUUUGUGGUUUAUUAUAGUAAGAUGUUGGCAGGGUGUCUCUGUUGAAUGUGACCUCAGUAUGAAAGCUAGCAAGGUGGUAGGGAUGAUAAUUCUUAGAAGAGGAAGGGAAUAUAGUUGAUCUAGAAGUAGAAGUCCAGUGCAUCGAAGAAGUAGACCGAGUCCGGAUAAUGGAGUGGAAAACAGUCAAGUUUAUGACAGAUAAGGGACCAUCGAGCAACAAGGAUUGAAGCCCUGACCAUGAGUGAUAUACUGCUCGAUCACCAGUGGUUGUUCACCAAUUCGUCGCUCACCUGUUCGUCGUGCCCGUUCCCCUGCUGGUAGUUCAAACGUGCAUCGAUCCCCAGCUGGAUGCUCAUCCGUUUUCUGUUCAGCUUAUACUCGCUCAUUUAUUCCCCAUUCUCCAGAUGACCGUUUAUCUGUUGGCCGUUCUCCAAAUGCCUUUUACCAUUUCGUCGUGCUCUUGAUGGCUGCUCACCUGUUUGGACAUGGUGUUUACGUUUUGAAGUAAAUUAUUGAAAUUGGUGUUUUUUUUAAUGGGUGAAACUUAAUACGACAGAAAGACUUGAUUCUGCCAGGCAGUUGUGAAUCCUAAAUAUUGGGGUCCUUUUUAAUAACAUUAAUGAUACUUUCCCCAUACACUUUUUUGUUUAUAAUAUUCUACUAUGUUUA